UACGGAGGGUGCGAGCGUUAAUCGGAAUUACUGGGCGUAAAGGGCGCGUAGGCGGUGAAGUCAGUCGGGUGUGAAAGCCCCGGGCUCAACCUGGGAACUGCAUCCGAUACUGCUUCGCUAGAGUAUGGUAGAGGGAAGCGGAAUUCCGGGUGUAGCGGUGAAAUGCGUAGAUAUCCGGAGGAACACCAGUGGCGAAGGCGGCUUCCUGGACCAAUACUGACGCUGAGGCGCGAAAGCGUGGGGAUCAAACAGG
rnacentral:rRNA from 1 species